rnacentral:rRNA from 1 species
GACGAACGCUGGCGGCGUGCUUAACACAUGCAAGUCGAACGAAGUGGCGAACGGGUGAGUAACGCGUAAUCAACCUGCACAUCAGAGGGGGCACACAGUUGGAAACGAAUGCUAACACCGCAUACUGAAGGGGGGGAAUGCGGCUGAUUAGCUAGUUGGAGGGGCCACGGCCCACCAAGGCGAUGAUCAGUAGCCGGUCUGCGAAGAUGAACGGCCACAUUGGGACUGAGACACGGCCCAGACUCCUACGGGAGGCAGCAGUGGGGAAUCUUCCGCAAUGGACGAAAGUCUGACGGAGCAACGCCGCGUGAGUGAUGACGGCCUUCGGGUUGUAAAGCUCUGUUAAUCGGGACGCGGUACCGGAAUAGAAAGCCACGGCUAACUACGUGCCAGCAGCCGCGGUAAUUC